ACAUGUUUUGCUGCACAGGGCUAACCUGUUCCUGAUCUAACUUUGUUCACCUUUUCAGGUGAACUAAUUUAGAUCAGGCCAGCCAUUUUUUGCCUAAUUUAACAUCCCCAAAUAUCUGCACAGAUUAACACCUAAAUCAACAGGUACCCCAAGGUCCCUUGCAACCAGCCCAACAAUUCUGUGUGGCAAUGAGGGAGGUGAAGACAGAAGCUCUUUUGCUGAAGAUAACCCCAUCCUUGAAACUGGGGAUGCCUGUAGAAAGCCUCACUCAGCAUUCCCCAGCAACUAGAUAAAGACUUUUCUUCUCCUCUCUGACUGUAACCCGGGGGACCUGUGGAAUCAGUGAACCACCAACCAGGUUCUAAUAAUUAGGUUCAUAUGUAAAAUAAUCACUAACUACAACAGGGUCACCGGUGCUUUAUACAACACAAAGGUUGGCAGUUAAACUUUGCAUGACAGGCUUUACAAGUUAGAGGGAAGUUAAGCAAAAGGGAGUCUGAGCAAACACAAGCAGGCUUAGGUGACAAGAACAGCAGGUAUUGAAGUCAAGCAGGUGGGAAGUAACUUGACAGUAGAAGAGGUAUUAGGAAACAGCCUGCAAGGACAAUAGCAGUGUUAAAAAUAAAUGAGCAAGCUGUGAUCAGGGAAAUAAAGACAAGCUCACUUUGCUCUGUUUUACUGUUGGAGAAAGUAAACAAAUUAGAAAAACAAGCCACAGAUCACUUUAAUUUACAUGCUGAGUCAUGAAACCCUGCCUCCUUCACCUUCUCCUUGUCAACUAAUAACUGUGACUCUUUCAUAAGGGUAAGAACAAUCAAUAGGAAAGAGCACUAUAAGGCUUAUCAAAUUAAAUGCAGAACGGCUGCCUGUAAUUCCCAGAAGCUUGCCUUCUGUGGUUUUCUCCUAGCUAGUCUUAGGGAAAAAAAAGUGUCUUCUAUAGUUUUGUGGUUAUUUUUGUAAUUUUUUUUGAGAUGUGAGACAAUGAAAUAUUAAUUAGUCUUCAGGACCAUAAAUUGUAAUACAGUAGUAAAUGGCAAAUUUAUUAAAUGUUCCUCUUUCAAAUGAUCUAGUUCUAUUGUAAAAGUAAUUGUUGCACCCAAUAAAGAUUUAAUUUUCCAGUAAAGAUCCAUAAAAGAGAUGUGUGUUUCUGAUGAGUUGGGUAACAUGGUCUUUCAUAUUAGCCUGUAAUUCAUUGUGUCAAUCUAGGAAACAGAAUAAAGGCCAGUGGACUUUAGUAUUGUUGUAACAUUUUAGCCAA